UGGGGAAUCUUCCGCAAUGGACGAAAGUCUGACGGAGCAACGCCGCGUGAGUGAAGAAGGUUUUCGGAUCGUAAAACUCUGUCUUUUGGGGCGAACGUGAGUAUGGUGAACAAUCAUAGUCAGUGACGGUACCAAAGGAGGAAGCCACGGCUAACUACGUGCCAGCAGCCGCGGUAAUACGUAGGUGGCAAGCGUUGUCCGGAAUUAUUGGGCGUAAAGAGCGCGUAGGCGGGAUAGUCAGUCUGUUGUAAAGUGCGGGGCUCAACCCCGUGAUGGCAAUGGAAACAGCUAUUCUUGAGUGCAGGAGAGGAAAGUGGAAUUCCCAGUGUAGCGGUGAAAUGCGUAGAUAUUGGGAGGAACACCAGUGGCGAAGGCGACUUUCUGGACUGUGUCUGACGCUGAGGCGCGAAAGCCAGGGGAGCGAACGGGAUUAGAUACCCCGGUAGUCCUGGCCGUAAACGAUGGGUACUAGGUGUGGGAGGUAUCGACCCCUUCCGUGCCGGAGUUAACGCAAUAAGUACCCCGCCUGGGGAGUACGGUCGCAAGACUGAAACUCAAAUGAA
rnacentral:rRNA from 1 species